UUGACCGAAACUUGAAGUUCAGUUUAUUUGUUAGUAACCACGUGUGCGCAGUUAGGUUUGUUUAUUUUACAACAAAAUAAGCUUUAUGAUCUUAACUACGCUAUCGUUUCUUUCUUAUAUUUGGCAAGGACCGUGUACGUCGGGCAAGAAGACAGAACACUCCGGCAAAGCAAUGGAACGAACAUUUAUCGCUGUAAAACCCGAUGGUGUACAAAGAGGCUUAGUUGGUAAAAUUGUCGCUCGUUUUGAGGCAAAAGGAUUUAAACUAGUUGCGAUGAAAAUGGCGACUGCAACAGAAGACCAUCUCAAAAAGCAUUACUCAGAUUUGUCGUCAAAACCCUUUUUUGCCGGGCUUGUAAAAUACAUGGGCUCUGGGCCUGUAGUAGCAAUGGUUUGGGAGGGGCAAGGAGUAGUGAAGACUGGAAGAGUGAUGUUGGGAGCCACAAACCCCGCGGACUCGCUUCCAGGGACCAUCAGAGGUGACUUUGGCAUCCAAGUUGGAAGAAAUGUCUGCCAUGGAUCUGAUUCAGUAGAAUCUGCAACUAAGGAGAUUGGUUUGUGGUUCACUGAUUGCGAGCUUAAUGCUUAUACUAGUUGUUCACAGUCCUGGUUAUAUGAAUAAUCAACGUUACAUAACACUGCAAUAUUAAAAGUACUUUGGUUCUAAUAAAAUAGCCUGACGUUUCUUAAAAAAAAGGUCCAAAAUUUAAAUCUUUAUCAAAAGUUUGUGUUCUUAUAAUAUUAGUGCAAAUGCUAUGUGGUAUUAAUCAAUGUUUCAUAAAACUGCAAUAUUAAAAGUACUUUGGUGAUAAUAAAACUGCUUGAUGUAAUAUUCUACAAAGAUGGCCUAUACAAAAACCUUCUUAAAGUUUGUAUUUUCAUAAUAUUGGUGCAAAUGCAAUAGAAUAUGAUUAUUAAUGUUCCAUUAACACUGGAAUAGUUAAAGUACUUUGGUUUUGAUAAAAUAGCCCAAUGUACCUUACUAUUAAGUUUGCCUAUACGAAAAUCUUUAUUAUAAGUUUGUAUUAUCAUAACAUAAUAAAUGUACUUUGCAAAUAAAUGGGAUUUAAUCUUUAAAUGUAAACGUAUCAUGUUUUGCAUUUCCUUCUGCGAUGAAUUCAACGUAUUCAGCUGUAUUUUCAAAUUACUAAUAUUAGAAAAUUCAUUUUUCGCUUUGUUGCAUACCGUGUUGUAAAUUCUUAUUUCUGUUGUUGUAGUUUUGUCCAACUGUUCGAAUAUGGCUACUAUAAUGUUAAAUAUAAGGCAUUGCUGCUUGAACAAAAUUUGUUAUUAGUUUAAAUUAUGUAAUAUCAAUGUUUGUUUAG